ACGGGUGAGUAACACGUGGGCAACCUGCCCUCAGCUCUGGGAUAACUCCAAGAAAUUGGUGCUAAUACCGGAUAUUCUUCUUUCACCGCAUGGUGGUUGGAGGAAAGUUUUUCGGCUGGGGAUGGGCCCGCGGCCUAUCAGCUUGUUGGUGGGGUGAUGGCCUACCAAGGCGACGACGGGUAGCCGGCCUGAGAGGGUGACCGGCCACACUGGGACUGAGACACGGCCCAGACUCCUACGGGAGGCAGCAGUGGGGAAUAUUGCGCAAUGGGCGAAAGCCUGACGCAGCGACGCCGCGUGAGGGAUGACGGCCUUCGGGUUGUAAACCUCUUUCAGCAGGGACGAAGCGAAAGUGACGGUACCUGCAGAAGAAGCACCGGCCAACUACGUGCCAGCAGCCGCGGUAAUACGUAGGGUGCAAGCGUUGUCCGGAAUUAUUGGGCGUAAAGAGCUCGUAGGCGGUUUGUCGCGUCGGCUGUGAAAGCCCGGAGCUCAACUCCGGGUCUGCAGUCGAUACGGGCAGACUUGAGUGUUGCAGGGGAGACUGGAAUUCCUGGUGUAGCGGUGAAAUGCGCAGA
rnacentral:rRNA from 1 species